rnacentral:rRNA from 1 species
UCUCAUGCAGUUCGCUCCAACCCCUGUGACAUACCAAUUGUUGCCUCGGCGGAUCAGCCCGCUCCCGGUAAAACGGGACGGCCCGCCAGAGGACCCCUAAACUCUGUUUCUAUAUGUAACUUCUGAGUAAAACCAUAAAUAAAUCAAAACUUUCAACAACGGAUCUCUUGGUUCUGGCAUCGAUGAAGAACGCAGCAAAAUGCGAUAAGUAAUGUGAAUUGCAGAAUUCAGUGAAUCAUCGAAUCUUUGAACGCACAUUGCGCCCGCCAGUAUUCUGGCGGGCAUGCCUGUUCGAGCGUCAUUUCAACCCUCAAGCCCAGCUUGGUGUUGGGACUCGCGAGUCAAAUCGCGUUCCCCAAAUUGAUUGGCGGUCACGUCGAGCUUCCAUAGCGUAGUAGUAAAACCCUCGUUACUGGUAAUCGUCGCGGCCACGCCGUUAAACCCCAACUUCUGAAUGUUGACCUCGGAUCAGGUAGGAAUACCCGCUGAACUUAAGCAUAUCAAAAGCCCGGAGGAA